CGUGGGUGGUUCGCCGCCGGCGACGUCGCGAGAAGUCCACUGAACCUUAUCAUUUAGAGGAAGGAGAAGUCGUAACAAGGUUUCCGUAGGUGAACCUGCGGAAGGAUCAUUGUCGAACCCUGCACAGCAGAACGACCCGCGAACACGUUGAAAAACACAUUCGGGGGGCACGCSCGGAGGGUGCCCCCCGCCGUCGCCGCUUGCGGUUCCGGCAAAAAAACGAACCCCGGCGCGAUCCGCGCCAAGGAAAACUUUAAACUCGAGAGCGCGCCGUCCUCCCGCCGCCCCCGUCCGCGGGUGCGCGCGCGGGCUGCCGGCCGCUUCUUAGUGAAAACACAAACGACUCUCGGCAACGGAUAUCUCGGCUCUCGCAUCGAUGAAGAACGUAGCGAAAUGCGAUACUUGGUGUGAAUUGCAGAAUCCCGUGAACCAUCGAGUCUUUGAACGCAAGUUGCGCCCGAAGCCUUUAGGCCGAGGGCACGUCUGCAUGGGCGUCACGCAUCGCGUCGCCCCCACAAACAGCGUGCACUCCUCCCGGGGUGCCCGUUGCCUGGCGGGGAGCGGAUACUGGCCUCCCGUGCCUCGCGGCGCGGCUGGCUCAAAACGGAGUCCCCUGCGAAGGACGCACGGCAAGUGGUGGUUGAUAAAAAGGCCCUCGCGUCCCGCCGUGCGGCAAUCCUCCGCGGGAUUCGGCUCUCCUACAAGUGACCCUGAUGACGCGCCUCCGGAAGCCGGCACGCAACUGGCGGCCGACGACGGCUGCGCUCCGACCGCGACCCCAUGUCAGGCGASACUACCCGCUGAGUUUAAGCAUAU
rnacentral:rRNA from 1 species